rnacentral:lncRNA from 1 species
UUGGAAAAUAUGUCCCAAAGCCAAUCAUUAGACGAUUGUGCUCAUCUUGUAAAUUAUAUAUAAAUUUUUAUUAAUAAAAAUUAUUUGAUAUUUUUAUUAUAAAUUGACCAUCUUUGAACUCCUGUGUUAUAAUGAAGUCUUUAGGACUAUUAUUAAUCGACAAAAGAGGAUUUAUCGUUAAGUCCUUAAAAAUAUUUGCGACCAAACGAUAUGC